rnacentral:rRNA from 1 species
GCACCCUACGGGCGCAGCAGUGGGGAAUAUUGCACAAUGGGGGGAACCCUGAUGCAGCGACGCCGCGUGGGCGAGGAAGCAUUUCGGUAUGUAAAGCCCUAUCGGCAGGGAAGAAGAAAUGACGGUACCUGAAUAAGAAGCACCGGCUAAAUACGUGCCAGCAGCCGCGGUAAUACGUAUGGUGCAAGCGUUAUCCGGAUUUACUGGGCGUAAAGGGAGCGCAGGCGGCGCGCCAAGUCUGAUGUGAAACCCCGGGGCUCAACCCCGGGCAUGCAUUGGAAACUGGCGGGCUGGAGGGCCGGAGG